GAUUAUGGCUCAGGAUGAACGCUAGCGGCAGGCUAACACAUGCAAGUCGCGGGGCAGCGGGGUAGCAAUACCCGCCGGCGACCGGCGGAAGGGUGCGUAACGCGUGAGCAACAUGCCCGUAUCAGGGGGAUAACCGAUGGAAACGUCGCCUAAUACCCCAUAACAACAGUCUUCGCAUGUUGACUGUUUGAAAGUUACGGCGGAUACGGAUUGGCUCGCGUGACAUUAGCUGGUUGGCGGGGUAACGGCCCACCAAGGCUACGAUGUCUAGGGGUUCUGAGAGGAAGGUCCCCCACACUGGAACUGAGACACGGUCCAGACUCCUACGGGAGGCAGCAGUGAGGAAUAUUGGUCAAUGGGCGCAAGCCUGAACCAGCCAUGCCGCGUGCAGGAAUGAAGGCCCUAUGGGUCGUAAACUGCUUUUGCUGCGGAGCAAUAAGGGUUACGUGUAGCCUGAUGGGAGUACGCAGCGAAUAAGCAUCGGCUAACUCCGUGCCAGCCGCGGC
rnacentral:rRNA from 1 species